rnacentral:rRNA from 1 species
CUUCCUCUAUAUUCUUGUUAUGGGCGUCCCCCGCUCUCUCUUGGGCUCUUCCUGAGGUCCUUGCCGUCCCCUCCGCUGUUCGCCUUGUGGCCUCUGUCCCGGGCCGGAUAUCUCGGCCCGCGAAUCCCAUUGUAGUCUCGUGUGUCCGGCCCACACCCAGGAAGCAGCGUAGCUAUGUGCGCGUAGGGGGUUGCUUUUUACAGCGAGUGAUAGGGGGCAGUUGUUAGCGCGGUAUACAGCUCUCGAGUGGUGGGACGAUAUUGGUCUAAGCGUCGUACGCGAAAGUUCUCCGUUAAUCCAACGAUCCAAUCGUUGGCUCCGGGAAUACUCUCGCUUGGGGCGAGGAGUCGCCGUAGUCUCGGGUAGGGCCGAAAAUCCUAUAAUCCCGAGAGGACCACCAGUGGCGAAGCGCCGACUAAAGCGCGCCCGACGGUGAGGGACGAAAGCUGGAGCGAACGGGAUUAGAUACCCCGGUAGUCCCAGCUGUAAACGAUGCAGGCUAGGUGUUGGGACGGCCACGAGCUGUCCCAGUGCCGCAGGGAAGCCAUUAAGCCUGCCACCUGGGGAGUACGGUCGCAAGGCUGAAUUCUCUUUGAGCAUUCGCUCGAGAGACAGUUGACUUAAAGGAAUUGGCGGGGGAGCACCACAAGGGGUGAAGCUUGCGGUUUAAUUGGAGUCAACACCGGGAAACUUACCAGGAGCGACAGUUGAAUGAAGGUCAGAUUAAAGGUCUUACCGGACUAGCUGAGAGGAGGUGCAUGGCCGUCGCCAGUUCGUGCCGUGAGGUGUUCUCUUAAGUGAGACAACGAACGAGACCCGCACCCUUAGUUGCCAUCGGAUUCCCUCGGGAUUCCAGGCACACUAGGGGGACUGCCCACGCUAAGUGGGAGGAAGGAGCGGGCCACGGCAGGUCAGUAUGCCCCAGAUCUCCUGGGCCACACGCGAACUGCAAUGGCUGGGACAAUGGGAUCCGACCUCGAGAGAGGAAGCAAUCCUCAAACCCAGCCUCAGUUGGGAUCGAGGGCUUAACCCGCGGUCGUGAACAUGAAUCCGGUCUCGCCGAAUUCAUCGC